GACGAACGCUGGCGGCGUGCUUAACACAUGCAAGUCGAACGGAAAGGCCUGCUUUCCCUUGUGGAUUGCGGGUACUCGAGUGGCGAACGGGUGAGUAACACGUGAGUGAUCUGCCCCCAACUUGGGUAUAAGCCUGGGAAACUGGGUCUAAUUCCCGAUAGGACUGCAGGGUGGUGCCUGUGGUGGAAAACGAUUUUCUAGUGGUUGGGGAUGAGCUCGCGGCCUAUCAGCUUGUUGGUGGGGUAAUGGCCUACCAAGGCGGCGACGGGUAGCCGGCCUGAGAGGGUGGACGGGCACAUUUGGACCGGGGUAACGCCCCGACUCCUAAGGGGGGCAGGAGGUGGGGAUAAUGGCCCAUUGGCGGGAGGCUGAAGCAGCGACGCCGGGUGGGGGAUGACGGCCUUCGGGUUGUAAACUCCUUUCGACCGCGAGGAAGCCACCUGGUUGGAAGGGUGGUGACGGUAGUGGUAGAAGAAGCACCGGCUAACUACGUG
rnacentral:rRNA from 1 species